rnacentral:rRNA from 1 species
UAGGGAAUCUUCGGCAAUGGACGAAAGUCUGACCGAGCAACGCCGCGUGAGUGAAGAAGGUUUUCGGAUCGUAAAACUCUGUUGUUAGAGAAGAACAAGGACGUUAGUAACUGAACGUCCCCUGACGGUAUCUAACCAGAAAGCCACGGCUAACUACGUGCCAGCAGCCGCGGUAAUACGUAGGUGGCAAGCGUUGUCCGGAUUUAUUGGGCGUAAAGCGAGCGCAGGCGGUUUCUUACGUCUGAUGUGAAAGCCCCCGGCUCAACCGGGGAGGGUCAUUGGAAACUGGGAGAGUUGAGUGCAGAAGAGGAGAGUGGAAUUCCAUGUGUAGCGGUGAAAGGCGUAGAUAUAGGGAGGAACACCAGUGGCGAAGGCGGCUCUCUGGUCUGUAACUGACGCUGAGGCUCGAAAGCGUGGGGAGCAAACAGG